UACGUAGGGAGCAAGCGUUGUUCGGAUUUACUGGCGUAAAGGGCGCGUAGGCGGCGUUGUAAGUCACUUGUGAAAUCUCUGAGCUUAACUCAGAACGGCCAAGUGAUACUGCAGUGCUAGAGUGCAGAAGGGGCAAUCGGAAUUCUUGGUGUAGCGGUGAAAUGCGUAGAUAUCAAGAGGAACACCUGAGGUGAAGACGGGUUGCUGGGCUGACACUGACGCUGACAGCGCGAAAGCCAGGGGAGCAAACGGG
rnacentral:rRNA from 1 species